rnacentral:rRNA from 1 species
GAUGAACGCUGGCGGCGUGCCUAAUACAUGCAAGUCGAGCGAACAGACGAGGAGCUUGCUCCUCUGACGUUAGCGGCGGACGGGUGAGUAACACGUGGAUACCCUACCUAUAAGACUGGGAUAACUUCGGGAAACCGGAGCUAAUACCGGAUAAUAUAUUGAACCGCAUGGUUCAAUAGUGAAAGACGGUUUUGCUGUCACUUAUAGAUGGAUCCGCGCCGCAUUAGCUAGUUGGUAAGGUAACGGCUUACCAAGGCAACGAUGCGUAGCCGACCUGAGAGAGUGGUCGGCCACACUGGAACUGAGACACGGUCCAGACUCCUACGAGAGGCAGCAGUAGGGAAUCUUCCGCAAUGGGCGAAAGCCUGACAGAGCAACGCCGCGUGAGUGAUGAAGGUCUUCGGAUCGUAAAACUCUGUUAUUAGGGAAGAACAAAUGUGUAAGUAACUAUGCACGUCUUGACGGUACCUAAUCAGAAAGCCACGGCUAACUACGUG